CGGGGCUCCAACCUCACCUUCCUGCUGUCGUGGAGAAGAAAAGUGGUAAUGACCGCUACUGUGCACUGGGCUCUCGCUCUGUGCUUUGCUUGUGUUUGCUCAGUUAAUCCUCCCAACAUGCCUCUAAGGGUUCUUCUCAGCCACCGUCAACAACCCCAGCUGCUACCAAGAUGAGGAAACUGCCGCUCAGAGACGGCAGCCGACCCAGCCAAGGCCGCACAGCCAGGAUUCAAAGCCAUACCGCUCAGCUCCUGCCUCCAGGCUCUGCCUUUGCAUGUGGCUUCUCCUGGCUCCUGGACCCUUCCCCGGCCCUCCCAGCUGGCUGUGCUGUGACAGUGGGCGGGGGAGUGCCAAGGCUCUGCCCUGCCCCCCGCCCUUGGCAUCUCCGGUCAAUAUGGCACUCACAGCUCCCUGGGCAUGGACCCCCUCCUGCCAUCCCCACUUAAAGUGAUACUUUAAUAAAUUAUGCUUUUAUGUUAUUACACGUGGAGCUAUAAAAGCAGAGAGUGUGCGGCCGGGCUGAGGUAAGGCGCCCGCGACUUUCCAAUUUCCUGGUCUGGCCUGGCUCUGCUCCGCACCGUGAAUUUUUCAUUAAUGUGCACAGGUGACGCCACGGGGCAGCCGCAGGCCAGUCAUAGUUACAGAGGCAAUGGACACAUUGAAGAGAGGAAAGAAAACAAACACGACCUAGAAUCUACGGGGAAGGAAGCCUUCUAGACUCCAGACCUUCCGUGUCCAGAAGUGUCAGUCUUCACAUCUGUGAGGUGGGGCCAAGGAGUCCUGCCCUGCCAUGCUGGGUGUUGACUUCGGGGAAGGGGCCUUGGGAUGUCUAUGAGGAUGCAGCUGCUGCCUUCUGUCUUGGCAGAGACCAUGGCCACCCCAGGACACCGUGUUUGGUCCCCGCUGUGCUAAGUCUCCUCCAGGCACCAGCCAGGCAUCAGUGGAGCACAGCGGAAAUGGGUCCAAAGCCACCCACAGAGGCUCUGUGUGGUUCUUGGAUAAUUCUGGAAGGCUCUAGAGAAGGCAACAAGAAGGCAGGAACCCAGGGCCAGAAACUGGACAACUUGUGUGUGUUUGUCUGUAAAGUGGGGCUAGGAAUCCGCGUGGGGGUCAAAUGAGAACAGCUCUGCCUCCCAGCGCACAGUCCCGCGUCGAGGUCAGAGAGCCUCUUAGGCCCUGGCUCUUUUGGGAAAUCAUCCCAGGGGCUAAAGACAAAACUGAAGUUGAAAUAAACAUGGGGGUCCAAACACUCCAGAAUUCUGAGUGAGGGAAUCUCCUCCCAGGCUUCCACGCCAGGCCCGAAUGCAAACAAGAGGCAGCAGGGGUGGCUUGGGCCCCUCACACAGAAUUAGUGAGAUUAGCUGAGAACCAGAGCCCAGCAGAUGUCCCCUCUCUGGACUCGGUGACUCACUUGCCUCCCUGGUUGAGAAUCGUAUCCGGCUGGGCCUGAGCUGUCCUGGCUGGCGGGGAGCUGGACGCAGGGCAGAGGUCGGGGUAAACACCCGUGCUCCAGGCGGGAGGUCGGGAUGGGGGUGGUGACAAGGAGGACAACAUUUCCACUCAGCAGAAAGAAGAGCCUGAGCUGCCCUAGAGCCGGAGGCGCUGCCUGGAGAGGUCGUGAGGACCCGGUCCCAGAGGUGUGCAAGCUGGGUACCCUUUGAAGACUAUAGGAGGAUUCCAGUUGGCGCUGGGAGUACUCCAGGCAGGAUGCCAGUUCAGGUCCUUCGUGCAUGAGACUCUCCCAGAGAGGCAGGCAAACAUUUUCUGGGAAGGGCCAGAUAGUAAAUAUUUCAGGUUUUGCGGGUCAUCCUGCUAUCUCUGUUGCAACUGCUCAACUCUGCCACUGUAGCUUGGAAGCAGCUACAGACAAUACAUAAAUGAAUGGAUGUGGG
rnacentral:lncRNA from 10 species